UACGUAGGGCGCAAGCGUUGUCCGGAAUUAUUGGGCGUAAAGAGCUCGUAGGCGGCUUGUCACGUCGGGUGUGAAAGCCCGGGGCUUAACCCCGGGUCUGCAUUCGAUACGGGCUGGCUAGAGUGUGGUAGGGGAGAUCGGAAUUCCUGGUGUAGCGGUGAAAUGCGCAGAUAUCAGGAGGAACACCGGAGGCGAAGGCGGAUCUCUGGGCCAUUACUGACGCUGAGGAGCGAAAGCGUGGGGAGCGAACAGG
rnacentral:rRNA from 1 species